rnacentral:rRNA from 1 species
UACGUAGGCAGCGAGCGUUGUUCGGAGUUACUGGGCGUAAAGGGUGUGUAGGCGGUUCUUUAAGUCUGGUGUGAAAUCCCCCGGCUCAACCGGGAGGGUGCGCUGAAUACUGCGGGACUAGAGUACGGGAGAGGAAAGUGGAAUUCCUGGUGUAGCGGUGAAAUGCGUAGAUAUCAGGAGGAACACCGGUGGUGUAGACGGCUUUCUGGACCGUAACUGACGCUGAGACACGAAAGCGUGGGUAGCAAACAGG